CAUAAUUUUGUUUUCCUCUGGUCUCAUGUGUGAGGCAUUACCCAAAUGGCUGUGGUGGUACAAUAAUCUCUGAUCUUGUGCUGUUGUCCAAGGUGUACUGCUGCUGGAAAUCAAAUCAUCAUCAGAGAACAUGUCCUCAUUCUACCCAGGGGUAAAGCCACUGCUUUUAGUAGUCUGAGCUGUGCUUAACUGGCUACAGAAAUAGCCAAUAAUCCAGGAUGUGAGAGUAAGGAAAAACUGGUAUGUGACUCCUAAGGGAUUCUAAUAACAUGGAUGAAUAAGAGAAAAGGCGGGUAUGUUAAUGGGUGCAGAUCUGUACAUAUCAUAUCACCUGCCAGAACACAAUGAACAUGAUCUUGCUAAGCAUUGAAAAGGUUUAUCAUACAACAGCCAUGAAGAAAGUAUCCUUGCUUCUCAGUUUGGUUGGAAAUUUGGAAAGGUCUUUAUAUGUGCACCCUCCUUUUCGUAAUGGUGUCCUGUUCUGGAUUUAGGGUGCUUAUUUUAAGAAAGCAUUGGUGUUAAACAGCUAUGGUAUAGACAGCACUAUGUACCAUACAGAUGUUCUGAAUCCUAUCAGUGCAUAUUAUGCAGCUAGCAAAUACUACACAUCACAAAACAAUUUCCACUAUCUGUUGUAUAUAAGGUAAUCUCAGUUUUGGCUGAGUUCAUCCUGUUGCCUAACUUUUUGUAGCACAAAUUUACAUGGUAUGUAGGUACUUCAAAAAUGACAUCUAAAUUUGUUUUGGCUUUGUUUUAUUUAAAAGCUUUUUCCACUUUGCCCAGGCAUAUUUUUGUCCCAUAUCACGAGCAGGACUCAAGCUCAGAAUAUAUUAUUGUUUUCUUGAUGUGUUAUAUGUUAUCCGACAUCUGCUUUCUUUGUCAUGCCAAAUCCUUCAAGCAAUAUUUUGAAAGACCUGAAAGAUAUUUUAAGUAGUAAACAUCUUCUGGUAACAAUACUUAGUUUCAUCGCUACUCUUAAAAAUUUCGCCUGCAUGCUAAUUGCUUUUGUGUUUCCAUACAGUCUCUCCAUUAGUAUUUAGGAUUUUUUUUUCCUUUUUACUACACACCUCAUGUAGCCAAUGCCAUAACUUUUAGAAAGAUAGUUAUAAAAAGGUAGUAAUCUUUGUGAUUUUCUUUCCCUUAUUCCCUUCAGGCCAGCCUCUUGAACAGAAGAAAAACUAAAUUGUUAAUGCAUGGGAAAACAAAUACAGUGAUUUUAUAUGUACUGUAGUUUGAGUUUUUCACUGUAGCACUCCUUUAAAAACACUAUUGCAUAGUUAUCCUAAUUACAUGGUUGCUGUCUGGCCAGCAAAAGAAGAGUUCAACAAAAUAAGCUUCAGCAAUUCUCUAAAGACUGCAUUGGACUUUGGUAUUAUUUUCUCUAGUUCUGACCUUAACCUAGGACUGAAGGUUAUCUAAAGACAAAAAUAGACUCAAUGCUGUCUACUCUGAAUUUCCUGAAGUAAUAAAUGUUGUUGUUUCUGCUAAAACUUUGAAGUUUUCUACAGAGACAGCUUGAAUUUCUGUCCAGGACCUCUUUUUUUUUUUUUUUCAUAACCUGGGUUAGUCUCUGGAUUUAAGAUCUGUGGAUGCCAAAUCCCAUGUAAAAUUUACCAAGCAUUAUCAUUCAUGUGUUUAUUUCACUGUUAAAAGGAUGCCAUCUUCUGCCAACUUUCCCUUGGAAGUAUUCAGCUAUGCAAGCCUGCAGAGAAGCUCAAGGGAAAAAAGAGCUGGUUUUCGCUUUUUGAUAGUUCAUUUUCUUCCUGCCUACGACGUGUAUAGAUCCGAGGCUUACAGGUGGAGCUAUAGGCCAUUGAGAAACAGGAUGCUCUAGUGUCCUCACACCAAAGCAGAAUAUAGACCUCUUGACUGGAGGACCCAUUUCAGCCCACUGUGAGCAGUCCUGCUUCCAGAUCCUGGCCCAUCCAUACAAGAAAGACCAACUGAGUGGUGAGGAUGCAGGCUCUUUUUGUAUAUACCAAGGGCUUUCAUUGGCAUUAUCUGCAAAAUAUCUUUGAAAAUUAAGGAAGUUGGACAUUUCAAAGGAGAGAUGCCUCAAACCAGCUGCCACUUUGCUCAUUUCAACCUUUGACACUAUGAAGAGUUCCAAGGACUUGUCUUCUGAAAGUGUUUACCUUGCCCAUCCUGCCUACCCCAUGUUUUGUAUUCCUGUGCUCUAGAGGCAAGCAAUGCAGAAGAGGCAUUGUCUCAAAAAGUCCAUGUUUCCAGGAAACUACAGAGUCAGCUUGGCUGCGUGACACAGGGACUGGGGUUGCACCAAGAGAAUUUCCUGACUUCAUACUCAGAGACAGGAGGUUAUGGUUCUCCACAGACGCUUUAAGUGCUUCAUAUCUCUGCAGUCUUAAUUUGGCAGGUUCUGCUGAAACUACCUGCAAAGGUGCUGUUCCUGAGGUUAUCCUGAUUUUGCAGUUCGCUUUACUAAGGUAACAGACUGACUUCUUUUGUAGCCAUCUGGAGCUGACUUCUGUUGUUCAUAUACCACAUUGAGCUGACACUGUGGUAGACAGGGAAACAGUAACUUCUUAUCUUUUUGUACAGGUUUGUCAUGUAACUGUGUCUUCCCUACCUAAAUUUUCUGAAUAUUGUCUAAAAUAUUUUGCCUAAAUCUAAAAUAAUGGAAUUGUACUGCUUUACUGCUACUCUCCCUAAUAAAAGUUAACCUUAACAUUUGGUAAGACCUUUACUUCUUCAGUGUCUCCAUCUGGUGCCAAAAGGACUCUUCACUUCUAUUAAUUUUCUGGGCUUAUGUAGCACAGAAGUGCUUUACACUGUUGUAUAAAAGAAAUGACCAAUUCUUUCUGUAUCAUAAAUCUUUUUGUAAGCUUUGAUGACACUAGCAUUUUAUGAAGAAGGAAAUUAAUGUAAAUGAGAUUAAAUUAUUUUUUCCUUCUGAUGAGUUGUCAUUGACAUUUCUUGAAUAUUAAGGAAAGAGAGGAAGUGAAAAAGUUUGGGGUAUAUUAUUUAUCCCAUAUGUUUACAGUUUGUGUAGAAUAAUUAUAUAAAGGAUGGAUGCUUGUAGUGCUCUUCUCUGUGCAUCAUUAAUGUGAUACUUCUUUCCUUGUCACUAGAUUUAAACUGUAGCAUUGUAAGACAAACAUCCUCCUUCAGCUGCUUCUAUUAUCCUGCAUACUAUUAUAAAAUGAGAGGAGAAUGCAGUACUUUAUCUCUUUAUAUAUUAUAAAAAUAAUGAAGAGGAUAAUUAUCAAGGCUGUAGUGCAAUUUCAUGGCGUUGCUGUCAACUGCAAACUGCUUGAGCGCAUUCCUUUGGUAUAAAAUGUCAAGAAAAUCCCAUGAUUGAA